UGGGAUUUUAAACUCUCUUUGGGUAC
rnacentral:piRNA from 1 species